rnacentral:rRNA from 1 species
UGAGGAAUUUUGCGCAAUGGGGGAAACCCUGACGCAGCAACGCCGCGUGAGUGAUGAAGGCCUUCGGGUUGUAAAGCUCUGUCUGGUGGGAAGAACCCGCGCAUGGGUAAUAUUCAUGCGCGCUGACGGUACCACCGAAGGAAGCACCGGCUAACUCCGUGCCAGCAGCCGCGGUAAUACGGAGGGUGCGAGCGUUAUUCGGAAUUACUGGGCGUAAAGGGCGCGUAGGCGGUCCAUUAAGUCAGGUGUGAAAUCCCGGGGCUUAACCCCGGAAGUGCAUUUGAUACUGGUGGACUUGAGUAUGGGAGAGGGAAGCGGAAUUCCUGGUGUAGCGGUGAAAUGCGUAGAUAUCAGGAGGAACACCGGUGGCGAAGGCGGCUUCCUGGACCAAUACUGACGCUGAGGCGCGAAGGCGUGGGUAGCAAACA